GGGGGCGUCCUGGUUUCGACUGGACAAAUACUCCUUCGGCCGCAUGUCGAGGAUGAUUCGUUGGCCUCGUUAAACACCGGAUCAAUCAUUAAUUGCCAAUGAAGAAAUGGCUCUCGCUGCUUAAUUAACGCAACGACGUCUCACCCCGGACCCCGGCUAAGGGGAUGAGGCGACGACAGCCGGGUGGAUCGGAAAUGGGGACAGCGCAUGACCGGUCGACGUUCUCAUGCUGACUAAGCGGGCGGAUUCGUGCCGGAGCGUUAUCCCCCGUCGAAAACCCAUCUUCGGAUAAACAUGUAGACGUCGCAGGCAGGUUUGCCUAGGACGGGGGUUCGAUUCCCCCCGCCUCCACCA
rnacentral:tmRNA from 1 species